rnacentral:rRNA from 1 species
AACUUCUGAGUAAAACAAACAAAUAAAUCAAAACUUUCAACAACGGAUCUCUUGGUUCUGGCAUCGAUGAAGAACGCAGCAAAAUGCGAUAAGUAAUGUGAAUUGCAGAAUUCAGUGAAUCAUCGAAUCUUUGAACGCACAUUGCGCCCGCCAGUAUUCUGGCGGGCAUGCCUGUUCGAGCGUCAUUUCAACCCUCAAGCCCAGCUUGGUGUUGGGACUCGCGGUCAUCCCGCGUUCCCCAAAUCGAUUGGCGGUCACGUCGAGCUUCCAUAGCGUAGUAAUAUACACCNUNCGUUACUGGUAAUCGUCGCGGCCACGCCGU